GACGGAAGGUGCAAGCGUUGCUCGGAAUCACUGGGCGUAAAGGGUGCGUAGGCGGCUUGGUAAGUUGGGUGUGAAAGCCCCGGGCUCAGCCCGGGAAGGGCACUCGAAACUGCCGAGCUGGAGUGCCGGAGGGGAGAGUGGAAUUCCUGGUGUAGCGGUGAAAUGCGUAGAUAUCAGGAAGAACACCCGUGGCUAAGGCGGCUCUCUAGUACGGUACUGACGCUGAGACGCGAAAGCGUGGGGAGCGAACAGG
rnacentral:rRNA from 1 species